rnacentral:rRNA from 1 species
AACGAACGCUGGCGGCAGGCCUAACACAUGCAAGUCGAACGCUGCAGCAAUGCAGAGUGGCAGACGGGUGAGUAACGCGUGGGAAUCUUCCCAGUGGUACGGAAUAGCUCAGGGAAACUUGAGGUAAUACCGUAUACGCCCGAAAGGGGAAAGAUUUAUCGCCAUUGGAUGAGCGCGCGUCGGAUUAGCUAGUUGGUGGGGUAACGGCCCACCAAGGCGACGAUCCGUAGCUGGUCUGAGAGGAUGAUCAGCCACACUGGGACUGAGACACGGCCCAGACUCCUACGGGAGGCAGCAGUGGGGAAUAUUGGACAAUGAGCGCAAGCCUGAUCCAGCCAUGCCGCGUGAGUGACGAAGGCCUUAGGGUUGUAAAGCUCUUUUGGCGGGGACGAUAAUGACGGUACCCGCAGAAUAAGCCCCGGCUAACUUCGUGCCAGCCGCCGCGGUAAUAC